rnacentral:rRNA from 1 species
UGCGUAGGCUGUGCAGUAAGUUGGGUGUGAAAUCCCUCGGCUCAACCGAGGAACUGCGCCGAAUACUGCUGUGCUAGAGGAAGAUAGGGGUAAGCGGAACUGAUGGUGGAGCGGUGAAAUGCGUUGAUAUCAUCAGGAACACCGGUGGCGAAGGCGGCUUACUGGAUCUUUUCUGACGCUGAUGCACGAAAGCUAGGGGAGCGAACGGGAUUAGAUACCCCGGUAGUCCUAGCUGUAAACGAUGAGCACUUGGUCGGAGGCUCCUCCAUAGGCUUCUGGCCGUAGCGAAAGUGUUAAGUGCUCCGCCUGGGGAGUAUGGUCGCAAGGCUGAA